GAAUUCGCCCUUAGAGUUUGAUUCUGGCUCAGGACGAACGCUGGCGGCGUGCUUAAUACAUGCAAGUCGAACGGAGUUAAGGGUUUCGGCCUUUAACUUAGUGGCGAACGGGUGAGUAACGCGUGAAUAACCUGACUCAAAGAGGGGGAUAACAACGGGAAACUGUUGCUAAUACCGCAUGAGACCACAACACCGCAUGAUGAAGGGGUCAAAGAUUUAUCGCUUUGAGAGGGGUUCGCGUCCCAUUAGGUAGUUGGAGGGGUAACGGCCCACCAAGCCAACGAUGGGUAGCCGAGCUGAGAGGCUGAUCGGCCACACUGGAACUGAGACACGGUCCAGACUCCUACGGGAGGCAGCAGUAGGGAAUAUUGGGCAAUGGGCGCAAGCCUGACCCAGCAACGCCGCGUGAGGGAAGAAGGUUUUCGGAUUGUAAACCUCUGUCCUAUGUGACGAAGGAAGUGACGGUAGCAUAGGAGGAAGCCCCGGCUAACUACGUGCCAGCAGCCGCGGUAAUACGUAGGGGGCGAGCGUUGUCCGGAAUUACUGGGCGUAAAGGGUGCGUAGGCGGUUUGGUAAGUUGGAUGUGAAAUACCCGGGCUUAACUUGGGGGCUGCAUCCAAUACUGUCGGACUUGAGUGCAGGAGAGGAAAGCGGAAUUCCUAGUGUAGCGGUGAAAUGCGUAGAUAUUAGGAGGAACACCGGUGGCGAAGGCGGCUUUCUGGACUGUAACUGACGCUGAGGCACGAAAGCGUGGGGAGCAAACCAGGAUUAGAUACCCUGGUAGUCCACGCCGUAAACGAUGAAU
rnacentral:rRNA from 1 species